GGGUGUUUGGUCUAGUGGUAUGAUCCGCGCUUCGGGUGCGUGGGGUCUCCGGUUCGAUUCCGGAAACACCCC